AACCCUCAUCAGAGAAGCUUUUUUCUGAGGUACAUGGCAAUCAGCACAGAGCUCCUCACACUGGGCAUGUGAACCUACAGCUGCAACAGCAUGAACAAGACCUACACAAACUCAAGCCAGAAAAUGUUUCAGUAUGGAUAAUAGCACAAAGCCCAUCUCGAAGGUGAAGAAUCUAGACUUCCAGGCCGUAAAUACACUCAUGCUCACAGUUAGUCAAGAAGCAUAGAUCUGGAGGACGUGGCUCAGGUGAUAGACCGCUUGCAUAAGGAGAGGAGGAAGCCCUGUGUUCGAUUCCUAGCACUGCAAGAUGGAGUAGGUCUGUUGUUGCGCACCUGUCAUCUCUGCACCUGUGAGGACCAGACGACGUUCCAGGUCAUCCUCAGACGUUCCAGGUCAUCCUCAGACGUUCAAGGUCAUCCCCAGCUACGGAGAAAAUUGGGCUAAGCCGAGGCUACACAAGA